CUAAAAAUAUUCCAACUCGUAUUUUAGACCCUUUUUGAAUAUCGUUGUUAAGAGUAUCCGUCACAUGUAAAAUGAAAAUAAUACGAUAGGAAAUAAUCCUGAAUAGUGCAACUUAAGUGAGAAUUAUCACAGACUUCUUUGACUCCCUGAAUAGCAUGAUGAAAAGAAGCUUUUAAAUCCCAGGAAGAAGAGCGUGAAGGUUUAAUAUUCAUUCCGGCAGAAUGUGGAGAAGUGCAUGAAGCGUGUAGGCCUAAAAGUAAAUCUGAUAAACUGAUGAGCUCUAAUGCCAUUUACACAAAGAUAAGAGUUGUUAAGACACUGUUAAACUAUAAACAAAUUGUAAACACGUCGCUUUUUCC